CGCGCAGGCGGUUUGGUUAGUCAGAUGUGAAAGCCCACGGCUUAACCGUGGAAGUGCAUUUGAAACUGUCAGACUUGAGUACCAGAGGGGUUGUGGAAUUCCCGGUGUAGAGGUGAAAUUCGUAGAUAUCGGGAGGAAUACCGGUGGCGAAGGCGACAACCUGGCUGGAUACUGACGCUGAGGCGCGAAAGCGUGGGGAGCAAACA
rnacentral:rRNA from 1 species